AGGGCGGCUAUGGCGGCAACGUUCUUCGGGGAGGUGGUGAGGGCGCCGUGCCGAGCCGGGACGGAGGACGAGGAGGAGGAGGAAGAGGAGGGGAGGAGGGAGACGCCCGAAGACGGGGAGGUCCGGCAGCAACUGUCGCGGAAGAGGGAGGUGCGGCUCCUUCGAAGACAAACAAAAACAACUUUGGAAGUUUCUCUGCUAGAAAAAUAUCCUUGCUCCAAGUUUAUAAUUGCUAUAGGAAAUAAUGCAGUAGCAUUUUUGUCAUCAUUCAUCAUGAAUUCAGGAGUCUGGGAAGAAGUUGGUUGUGCUAAACUCUGGAAUGAAUGGUGUAGGACAGUGGACACUACACACCUGUCCCCCACAGAGGCUUUUUGUGUGUUUUAUCACCUAAAAUCGAAUCCCUCGGUUGUGCUCUGUCAAUGUAGUUGCUACGUUGCUGAAGAUCAGCAGUAUCAGUGGCUGGAAAAGGUUUUUGGCUCUUGUCCAAGGAAGAAUAUGCAAGUAACUAUUCUUACAUGUCGACAUGUUACUGACUAUAAAACUUCAGAAUCUACCAGCAGUCUUCAUACUCCUUUCCUGAAAGCCCUAAAAACACAGAAUUUCAGAGAGCCUCCUUGCUGUUCACUGCUAGAACAACCAAAUAUCGUACAUGACCUUCCUGCGGCAGUUCUGAGUUAUUGUCAAGUAUGGAAAAUCUCUGCAAUUCUGUACUUAUGUUAUACUGAUGUGAUGAAAUUAGACCUAAUCACAGUUGAAGCUUUUAAGCCUGUACUUUCUUCCAGAAGCUUGAAAAGUUUGGUUAAGAAUUUCUUCCUUCAUUAAGAGAGGUAUCAGUUUCCAAGCCUGGGAUGCAUAUGUGUGACCUGAGCCUCCUUAUUGCCUUGUGAAACUUUUUCUGCACUGUUUGUUCUUGGCCUGUUGUCACAUGUCCACUGGUGGAUGUUCUAAGUAGGAUGGGAAAUGUGGACUCCACUCUGCACCUUCAGAUCACCGAAGGAUUUGUGAACUGAAUAUUCCCCAGAGCACAGAGAUACUGAAGAAACUGAUGACAACAAAUGAGAUUCAGAGUAACAUUUACA